UCAGUUGGGCCAAAGCUCACUAGAUAAAGUUUCGUAGUUUAUUAGAUACUUAGUGGGCCUUUGUAGCAACUAAUCAGAAGCCAUUUGUGCAAAAAUCCACUACCCUUAUCAAUUGCAUCAUCCUCGCAGUUUUUCCUUUUUUUCUAUUUCUUUUUAACUUUGGGUUUCAUUUUUAUAUUGAUUUAAGGAUAAAUAUGAAUCAGCAUCCCAUGUUUAUGUAUCUACAAGAAAAGGAGAUUAGGAUCAAACUAAGAACAAACAGAGGGGGCUGAAAAAAGGGCCCAAGUCCAUGCACAAAGAAAAAAAGAAUUACGGGCCUGAAUGAAAUUGAACCAUCAACGAGUUCAACGAACGAGCAUCUUUGUUAAUCCUGAGUAGGGCCUUCGCCCAUCUCUGCUUACUAGAUCCAGCCCAUUUCUGCUUAAUCGCUGCUCAAACUACAAUCCUGGACUCUAUCUCCAUGUUCCUUCUCAUUGUUUGGUACUUCCAAUGCUCUUUACUUCCACCAAAUACAGGAUUUGAAGCAGCGGUGAUUGGGAAGUAUACCGGUAGAAGUCUUUCCAACUGUCCACCCAUCAAACAGAAAUUGCUUGGUCUUGGCUGAGCCAAGUUAUGAUUUCAGAAUCGGGAGUCCUGUAGGAGGGACACUUCACUCAGAAUUGUCCGUUCUAAUCAAAAUGAUGAGGCAGUAAAUGUACUUAAAACUGGAGUCGGAAGCCAAGUUGAAGUUGUCAUUUACUUGUGUCAAGUACGGUUAUCUUCAAUCUUGCCUAUUCCAUGCAGUGUCGCACAAAUUCUACUUUCUUCUUCCCAUGAAUGAAGCAGCAGGUACUUUGCAAAGACAAAAUAACUACUUUCAUUGUCUUUCAAGCACCUGUUCGGUGCAUAUUGGUUCAAGAACAUGACGAUAAA
rnacentral:lncRNA from 1 species